rnacentral:rRNA from 1 species
CCCUUAGAUGUCCGGGGCCGCACGCGCGCUACACUGAAGGAAUCAGCGUGGCUUUCUCCCUGACCCGAAAGGGUUGGGAAACCCGUUGAAUCUCCUUCGUGAUAGGGAUUGGGGCUUGAAAUUGUUCCCCAUGAACGAGGAAUUCCCAGUAAGCGCGAGUCAUCAGCUCGUGCUGAUUACGUCCCUGCCCUUUGUACACACCGCCCGUCGCUCCUACCGAUUGAGUGCUCAGGUGAAUAAUUCGGACUGCAGCAAUGUUCGGAUCCCGAACGUUGCAGCGGAAAGUUUAGUGAACCUUAUCACUUAGAGGAAGGAGAAGUCGUAACA